AGGGUUUUAACAGUUAAAACAUCAAUUUGUUUUAUUUUUUUUGAUAUUUUGAAAUAGGUUUAAACAUUCUUGAGCCCUCCAGAUUAGUAAAGUGAGACAACAAUAGUCAUCUAGUAAAAUAGGGAGUGCAAAUGGUUGGGUUAGGUUGGGCCGAGGGGUGCCCUAUACUCGACCCAUUUAAGAAUACAGCUGUUGUUUUAGACCUAGACAUUAAAAAAAAAAAAAUGGGUUUGGUCUAAGUCAUGUUAAAAUCGAAAGCAGCCGACCCAUUAAUUUAAUGAAUUAAUACUGGCCCCCUGACCCAAAUUUGACUCGUUUAUCAAACGGGUCACACUAGGGCUUGUAGGGUUGUCAAUGGGUUUCCAAAGCUAGGGGUACUUGAUGGAUCCGACCCAGGAAUAUGACUUGAUUUUAACAAGAUUAAGGCCAAGAAAUUGGACCCAUUUAAAAUUCAGGUUAUGUUACCAUAAAACAAGACCGGUAUGAGAAGAACAUCCUAAACAAGUUGCUUGAGAUACGUGACAAUGCCAUAUGGCUUAAGAAAUGGUUUUUUUUUUUUCCCUAAAUAUUAAAUGUGUUUGGUUCCUACAGUUCCAUACCUGGUUAAUUGUGUAGGAUCUCAUGAGUUUCCGAGUCCUUUUGGGUCCGGGUCUAGUUCUUGAAGACUCGGACCCGUAAUUGAUUAUAAAUAUAGAAUUUGAUAGUUGAUUUUGCCUCUUUCUAUUUCUUUCAAUCUUGUUAUAGGUCCAAGUAGUUGCAUAGGAUCGACUUAUGUCUCACUGAUUGGGUUCUGGUUGGUUUAAUAAUGUUGAAGAACAACCCAACAUACCUUGUCUAAAGAGGCAUAUUCCAAUUACUAAAAUAGAGCAACGUAAAGAGGUGCAAUGAUUUGGAAGCUUAUGUGGUCCGCACCGUGAGAGCAGAGAAGCGCCUGAAUGAGAUAGUGAAUAGGUUGAACAAGACAAAAGUCAAAAGGAAGCCUGACUUGAAAGUUCACUGGGACUGAAUAGACCUCUUCUAAGUUCUCAACUUAUGGCUUCUGCAAGCUUCCUGGAAUGUCCUGUACUCUAUAUGGGGUUAUAAGCCACUCAUGUUAGGUGUUGUUUAUGCAGCUGAGCAGGAAGCAGUGAAUUACAAGGAUAUCGAUGAGGAAUUCCUAUAAAGGGUUACGGAGAAUACUUGUCAAUAUCUGGUGAAGAUCUUAUCGAAAAGUUCUAAAUCUGAGGAACCUUGUAUUGCUUCAGCUGAGGUUUUGGCAAGAUCAGCGUCAUGGCUUGGAAGAGGCCUUUCUUGUGUUUGUGCUCAAAGAGGAGAGAAUGAUGCCUGUUCAUAGUUUGAACUAACCCAUUUGCAGAGGCCACAGCUAGUGAAGGGGAAUAUGUAGCUUUUUUCUGUGGAUCAGCAGCGUAGUUAAGCUCUUGAAGCACAUGCUGCAUCAUUUGCUUCACUAAAGGUUGCUGGAAAUGAAAACCCUUUCAUUCUUCAUUCUUAUUGCCUUUGCCUCAAGGACCACCAAUGCAGGACAUAUUACAUCAAAGUUACAUGUGAUUGAACUUGGUGCUCAGCCAGG